rnacentral:tRNA from 1 species
UGCAAUUCCAACUUGGUUGCCCCUGUCACAGUCGGAGAAGGCGCUUAUGUGGCGGCAGGUUCAACUGUUACGGAAG